rnacentral:rRNA from 1 species
GACGAACCAUGCAAACGUUAUUCGGAAUCACUGGGCUUAAAGCGUGCGUAGGCGGCUCAGAAAGUUGGGUGUGAAAUCCCUCGGCCUAACCGAGGAAUUGCGCCCAAAACUACUGAGCUCGAGGGAGUUAGAGGUGAGCGGAACUCACGGUGGAGCGGUGAAAUGCGUUGAUAUCGUGAGGAACACCGGAGGCGAAAGCGGCUCACUGGGGCUUCACUGACGCUGAGGCACGAAAGCUAGGGGAGCAAACGGG